rnacentral:rRNA from 1 species
CACGUCUAAGCAGUAAGGCUGAGUAUUAGGCAAAUCCGGUACUCGUUAAGGCUGAGCUGUGAUGGGGAGAAGACAUUGUGUCUUCGAGUCGUUGAUUUCACACUGCCGAGAAAAGCCUCUAGAUAGAAAAUAGGUGCCCGUACCGCAAACCGACACAGGUAGUCAAGAUGAGAAUUCUAAGGUGAGCGAGCGAACUCUCGUUAAGGAACUCGGCAAAAUGACCCCGUAACUUCGGGAGAAGGGGUGCUCUUUAGGGUUAACGCCCAGAAGAGCCGCAGUGAAUAGGCCCAAGCGACUGUUUAUCAAAAACACAGGUCUCUGCUAAACCGUAAGGUGAUGUAUAGGGGCUGACGCCUGCCCGGUGCUGGAAG